ACUCCUACGGGAGGCAGCAGUGGGGAAUAUUGCACAAUGGGCGAAAGCCUGAUGUGGCCAUGCCGCGUGUAUGAAGAAGGCCUUCGGGUUGUAAAGUACUUUCAGUCGUGAGGAAGGGUGUGCAGUUAAUAGCUGUACAUCUUGACGUUAGCGACAGAAGAAGCACCGGCUAACUCCGUGCCAGCAGCCGCGGUAAU
rnacentral:rRNA from 1 species